GCUGCAGCCUGUACGCUGGAGAGGCAGGAAGCAAAACAUUUACAUUAGCGUGCAAUUUCAAGAUGGAAUCGAAACUCGAGAACAGGAGACAUGUGGAGCCAACCUAAGCCCUCGCCAUAUUUAACUAGGUUUCCCAAAAUCGGAGAGAGGAGGAGGAAGUGGGAAGUUGUCCUAAGAACGGACAGUUUUGCUGCCACUGACAGGACACUGAUCUGCUGUGAGCACUUCAAGACCGAGGACUUUGACAAGACCGGGCAGACUGUGCAGUUUAAAGAUGGUGUUUUGCCAUCCAUUUUCAGCUUUCCAGCACAUCUUCAAAGGUCGGUAGCAAUAAGAAGCACUACCACUUCAAGAAUAGUGGAAGACAACCUGCCAAUGGACUUGAUACCUGAUGUUGUGAGUAUUUGCAUGUGGAAUGUCACAAACUAAUCAGAGCAUCAUAUGGCUUGUAAUAUUAAAUCCUUUAUCUUGGUGGUACCCAGAAAGGUUUAUGUUGGUGUUAGUAAUCUAAGGGCAAUUUCAUACCUGAAAGUCUGGACCAAAGAGCUUGGCUUUGGUGAUUUCCUUGCAUGAAUGUCUUACAUUCAUAAACAUCAUGUUUGUGGCUGCCUGCUGCUCAAUCAGUUUUUUUUUUGUUUGUAAGAUAUGUUUUAUGAAGAUGUACACAUUACCUGAAAGUGUCACAAGCUAUUUUGAGUAUUUAGAAAAAAGGUGUUUUUGACUAUCUGUUUGCAGAAUGUAUCACCACUGAUACAGUCUAAAUUGUUUGAUAAUACUCGUAUAUCGUGUUUUUUUUAAGGUGGUAAGGUGGCUGGAAUAACAACCCCAAUGCCAGCCAGUUUAAGUAUAUAUUUAGAAAGCUGAUGGCCUGGUGUGGAGUUGUGGACCAUGCAGAGACAAUGUUACAGCACAGGAUGAGGCCGAGACCCUACUAGCGGUCAUCGACACCUCUACAAGCCUGUCAACUGUAUAUAUGUCCUCUGCAGCAAGAGAAGAUCUUCCCUUUCCGUUUGCUGACAUUCCUGCAUUAGUACAUGAUCACAGUUACCUUCCCGUCAGCUUCAAUUGUCUUCUGGACAAUGCUCUCGUGUACAUUUCAGGUAAAGGCUGACUGAUUAACCCAUCCCCUCCUGUGGGCCACCGGGAUACCUUGUUACUUGGCUACAUUUUUAAUAAACAUGUUUUAAAAUGUCA